CUGAGUUAGGGUCUUCCAGGCCCGACCUCCAACCCUUGUGUUUAUUAUACCACGUUGCUUCGGCGGGCCCGUCUUCACGGACCGUCGGAGGGUGUCAAACCCCUCUGGCCAGUGCCCGUCGAUAGCCUCCAAACCAAAACUCUUGAUUAAACAUGUCGUCUGAGUCUAAAUGUUAAUUAAAACA
rnacentral:misc_RNA from 1 species